rnacentral:snRNA from 1 species
GUGCUCAAGUUGGUAGCACCUACACUAAAGUUGGAAGGAUACAGAAAAGAUUAACAUAGCCCCUGCUCAAGGAUGACACACAAAUUUGUGAAGCACUCUGUAUUUUU